AAUAACCUCUUUGAUAGUUAUAGGGCAAAUCCUGCAUGAACUGGCUGGAAAUUAUGUAAUGACAAUGGUCUGUGAAUGCAGUCCUUUAUUUUCUAGGAGCUUUGACACUCAUCCUAGGCAACUCUUUGGAGAACUGAACUGCUGAGCUCUUUGAAAAUUUCUGCUGGACACAUGCAAGUGACGGCUUAAUUCAUGGCUGUAGAACCUGGCUAGAUGUAGGUGAACUCAAGUCUUUCAAAAGAUGGACAGGCAAAAGCAUUCAACUUUCCUUAAAGGAGUUUACAUUCUUCCAAACUAAUCCAAGUGGAGUAGAUCUUAUGAGAUGGUGAAGCUGGAAGAUCUUGAUCCCUAUUUAAUCUAAAUCAGGAUCUCAGGAACCUAAAAGAAAUCGAAAUGGUUUUUGAGACCUCGCUGGAUUUAUCUGCGCAUUGAACCAGCCAAUUUUCCAAUGGAUGGAACUUUCACACAGCCACAGAAAAGUGAAAAUUUUUAUUUUAUUGGAAAACCUGAUUUUAAAAUUGCAAAGAGAUGGCAGAAUUAUUAACAGGAAAAGAUUCUGCAGCCUUCCAGCAUCCUUCAUUACUGCUAAGUAUCCUGAAACGAAAAUGAGUAGGACCUGUACCUUGAUGAUAGGCCUGUGAUUCUGUGCUCAUUAUUUUCAAAAUCUGCACAGAGUCAAUAUUCAGAUGGAGAUGAGAGGCUGAUUAAAAUCAAGAUUUUCUUUUCUGACAUAAUUGAAAAGUGCUUAUGAUAAAGAAUUUUGUGUGCAUAUCUGCAAGAAGAAUUUUUAAAUCAGCUGGUUUUCUGGGACAUCUGAGUUCGAGCUAAAAGGACAAGUGCACAGAGGGAAUGAUUCAUUGUGUGCCCAGAUGCUCUCUGGCACAUGUUUCUCAAUUAAGAAGCUAUGAAUUGAAAACUGGCAUUGACUUUUCACAAUACUGCAAGGUCUAGAUCCCCUUGGGCUUUCAUCCCUCCUGCAACUGAACACUUCAGCCUUCAAAAAUUUGUUUUGGCUUUUGAGGUAGGAAUGUCAUAUCAUUUUACAAUAGUGAGUGUUUCUUUCCACUUGCAGCUAUGUGGAAGUCACCACAGGGACCAAGACUGUUCAAGUGUUCAGCAAGAAAAGCUAUAUCAUGUUCAUAAAUCUCUAAGUCAAAUCUGAAAUAAAAGUCAUGCAGCAAACCGGAAAAUGAAUUUUAUUUUAAAUCGAAACAGGGAUCAGCAGAUAUAGCCUGGGAUUUGGAAAUGAUUAAGUGUAGGAUUCAGUUAAGAAGUUUCGCCUCUCAAGAAAAUAUAAAGCAAACAUUCUUAUUCCUGACCUAUAGAUCUUCACUGUGUUCAGAAUAAUAAAAUGACUGAUCCAAUCACGUAUUGAUGCAGAAGAUCUUGGAGCAUUUUUACUGAGAUGUGAGUCAAUAAUAGAUUUUGUGGUUUUGGCUUUUCUUUCCUGGUUAAAUCAUGUUUUACUUUCAGCUCCACUCCCCCUGAAUUGUAAGGCCUACUGCUAGAUGUUGAAAUAUGGAGAAGGUUGUAUUUCACCUUAUCCUUGCUUUCAUCAGCGGGAAUCUUGUGUAAAUUGAGAUUGUGGUCCUGAAGGUCCAAGUGUGCUUGCUGUAUUUCUUGUCUUUUAGACACAUGUUCAGUGAAAAAAAACCAGAUUCAGAAGGAAAUGUAUUGAGCAAAGUAUGUAAAUCCGAUGUCAUAUAUGGAUAUAAUUACAAGACUAAAACAAUGGUUUUUCUAAUUUAUUCAAUUCAAUGUGUACUUGCAGUUUUCAGCUUUGAAUCCUAGAAAUAUUUUCAAAGCCUGCUUAAUCCCGUCUUCUAGAGACUCUUCCCUGCACCAACUAUUAACCCAACUUUCCCUUAAUUGUCAUCUUGUCCCUUACUACCUGGUUUUGAGGUUUGGAUCAUGGAUUUCCCUACCAUAGCCAAAAUGACUUAUAGAUCUUUUUCAAAUUUAAAUGCCACUCUACUGGUAACAUUGUUGAAUCUUGACUAACGGUAUAGAUAACUUCGUCAUAUUCAGUUCCUAUUUCUCUUUACUUUGUUGUCUAAGGAAAUGACCAAUAGUAUGACUUAACAUAGCUUGUAGGGUACAAUGAGAUGGUAGGAAAGGUAUUUUGAGCACUAACAUAUAAUCCCAAAAUAUCCCUAAUCUCACUGUGCAUGAAUUAUGCAUCUGCACAAAUUCCAUUGGACAAUUUGAAUUUGAAAAAAAACCUCGAUGGAGAGUAACACUUGCCAUUUCCUGGUGGUGAUGCUCAUACUUUUGAUGUGAAACUUUGCUCCUCUCUCUCCAAAGAAGAAUCUGAUAGAUUGGAGCACUCUCUUCAGUCUGCUGCAAAAGACAGAAAUACUGUUAAAAAAUUAUUUAACUAUUAAUCCCAGUGUCCAUCUCCCACUGGAGAUUUUCACUCACUAGACCCUCCUCAGAAAGAAAAUAAUAGGGAGCAAAGAUUAUAUUUGUAGAUGUAUGUACACAGAAUGUGUGGGGAAGGUCUUUUUCAAGGGGAGACAGUUUUUUUGACAGUGGUGUCAAGGUCAGGCAUUUUGCCCUUUGGGAACAGGAGACAAGAUUCCUCCCUGUUCAGAAGAUUCAUAUGCUUUUUCAAAGUUUCUCCAUGAUCUCUCUCCUGCCUUUAUUUUUCCUUUUGUGACGAAUUCUUAUAAAUGGAAACUGCAUUUCGUCUGCUGUCAUGCCCCACUGAAGGAAAGUACAAGAAAGUUUUUUGCUCAUAUUUUACCCAGAUGCUUGAUGGGAAAAAUUCUCCUUGCUUUGGCAUUUUCCUGUGAAUUGGAGCAAGCAAUGCUGCAGUUGAUAUUAUUUCCAUUAAGCUUCGUAAGAUUUAAGAGAGAUUCACUGGAGCAGUGACCUCUGACUCUGACAAAAUUUUUUUUCAAGUCAAAGCUCUUCCCAAGUGCAUGAUACACAGAUUAGCAGAUUUGUCAAAACUGUCUUUAAACCAUCAUUUGCCUUCCUAAAAUUCACUUGUGUGUUAUUUACCUUUCAUUGACCUAUUAUAAGUACAUCUCCACUGGACAAUUAUACCAGAAUCUAAAAUUCAGGAAAUAAUGAUUUUGUUUGUCUUGAGCCUCAACCUAACAU